GGCGUAGCCAUCAUGUCCCGACUGAGUCUGUUUGACCUAUAGUUUCUUUUUUUAAAUCAUUUUCUCAUUUUCUGACCUGUAAAUAGAUACCUUAAAUGGAAAUGAUUUUUAAAAAUGGAUUUAAAAAAAGUUAUCAAAUUAGGUACAUUCAUAAUACAACAAUUACACGUAUGACAAUUAAUUCACAAAGUAUAAGUUAAGUGGAAGUUAAGUGGAGUCAUAACUUGAAUUCACUUUGAUUUUGGAUCACUCUUAGCAGAUGUGUGAAAGAUGACCCGUGAUGGGGACUACAGCGCCAUGGGACACUAGCUCUGGAGACCAUUACAAUUAUGGCCGUAGUGCAGAAUAUAAGCUGCCAGAGGACAAGAACUCUUGGAUGUCUGGUGUCACUGCUGCAUACCAGGCACACAGCAGGUGCUUAAUAAACAUUUGAUGAAUACAUCAAAUGAAUGAGGAGAGUGACAUAGUUAAAAAAAAAUCAAAUUAGAAAUUGGGCUUCUUGGCAGCCCAAGAAGAGCUCUCUAGCUAGAAAUUUUCAAACCAGCGGACACAAGUUUCUUUGGUGUUAACAAGGCGGCCGCAAGAUUGCUAUGGAGAAGGAGGACUCUGUGUACCAUGGAGAGUAACGGCAUGAGCUUUAGAGGCGGCUAACCCUGUGCAGAUGUGCGACUUGGACAGGUUACUGAGCUUGCUAAGCCCCUGUCUCACUCCCCAAACAGGGAUAAUGACACCUCUCCCACAGGUGGUUGUGAGGAUUAAAUGAGAUAAUCCUUUAAAGCUCCCAUUUUAGCACACAGUAAGAAGCAUGCAGCAAUGAACAGAAUAGCUGUGAGGAAGCAUUAAUAGCCAACAGCCUUUUUCAGGAGAAUUGCUUGAGCCUGGGAGGCGGAGGUUGCA